UACGGGGGGGCAAGCGUUGUUCGGAAUUACUGGGCGUAAAGGGCUCGUAGGUGGCCAACUAAGUCAUACGUGAAAUCCCUCAGCUUAACUGGGGAACUGCGUCUGAUACUGGAUGGCUUGGAUUCGGGAGAGGAAUGCGGAAUUCCAGGUGUAGCGGUGAAAUGCGUAGAUAUCUGGAGGAACACCGGUGGCGAAGGCGGCAAUCUGGCUCAUAACUGACGCUCAGGCACGAAAGCGUGGGUAGCAAACAGG
rnacentral:rRNA from 1 species